rnacentral:rRNA from 1 species
ACGGCGAGUGAAGCGGCAACAGCUCAAAUUUGAAAUCUGGCCCUCGGGUCCGAGUUGUAAUUUGUAGAGGAUGCUUUUGGCGAGGUGCCUUCCGAGUUCCCUGGAACGGGACGCCACAGAGGGUGAGAGCCCCGUAUGGUCGGACACCGAGCCUCUGUAAAGCUCCUUCGACGAGUCGAGUAGUUUGGGAAUGCUGCUCAAAAUGGGAGGUAUAUGUCUUCUAAAGCUAAAUAUUGGCCAGAGACCGAUAGCGCACAAGUAGAGUGAUCGAAAGAUGAAAAGCACUUUGAAAAGAGAGUUAAAAAGUACGUGAAAUUGUUGAAAGGGAAGCGCCUGUGACCAGACUUGUGCCCGGUGAAUCAUCCAGCGUUCUCGCUGGUGCACUUUGCCGGGCACAGGCCAGCAUCAGUUUGGCCGGGGGGAAAAAGGCUUCGGGAAUGUGGCUCCCUCGGGAGUGUUAUAGCCCGCUGCGUAAUACCCUGCGCCGGACUGAGGUACGCGCAUUGCAAGGAUGCUGGCGUAAUGGUCAUCAGCGACCCGUCUUGAAACACGGACCAAGGAGUCGUCUUCGUAUGCGAGUGUUCGGGUGUCAAACCCC